UACGUAGGUGGCAAGCGUUGUCCGGAUUUACUGGGCGUAAAGGGCGUGCAGGCGGCUUGUUAAGUGCAGGGUGAAAGCUCCCGGCUCAACUGGGAGAGAUUCUUGCAUACUGGCGAGCUCGAGGGAGGCAGAGGAAAGUGGAAUUCCCGGUGUAGUGGUGAUAUGCGUAGAUAUCGGGAGGAACACCUGUGGCGAAGGCGGCUUUCUGGGCCUUACCUGACGCUGAGACGCGAAAGCGUGGGGAGCGAACCGG
rnacentral:rRNA from 1 species